UCAAUAAAACUAUUGUCCUAUUGUGAGGAACUUCCAGUGGUGUAGUGGGUUAAACCCUUGUGCUGGCAGGACUGAUGACUUGAAGAUUGGGUUGCUGAUCUGAAGGUUGCCGGUCCGAAUCCAACUCAGGAAGAGCGCGGAUGAGCUCCCGCUAUCAGCUCUAGUUCCAUGCGGGGACAUGAGAGAAACGGGAGGUUUUAUCAAGGAUGAUAAAAAACAUCAAAGAACAUCCGGGCGUCCCCUGGGCAACGUCCUUGCAGACAGCCAAUUCUCUCACACCAGAAGCGACUUGAAGUUUCUCAAGUUGCUCCUGACAGGAAAAAAAAUCCAAUCUUCCAUACACCCCAAUAUUAAAAUUUCCAAAACUAUUAAAUCAACAGACAUUAAUUUCUUAGAUGUUUCUAUACAUCAAGACGAUAGGGGCCUAUAUGUAACUAAUUACUCAAAACCAACUGACAAAAACUCUAUUUUGCAUUAUAAUAGCUACCACCAUCACUCACUCAAAUGCAAUUUACCUUACUCUCAAUUUCUCAGAAUUAAGAAGAACAGCAAGCCUUUCCAUUACCUUUCAGCAGCCAGUUCAUUUAGCAGCAAACUUAAAGCUAGAGGCUAUCCAGCCAAGGUACUAAAACAGGCCUUUCAGAAGUCCUUACAAAUUGAUAGGAGUUCUUUAUUAACAUACAAACCAAAACAGCAAAAUAGGAUAAUUUGUCCAUUAACACUCACCACACAGACCCCACACAUCCGCAGUAUUAUUUACAAACAUUGGCACCUCAUACGGGAGAUCCCAGGUUGCAAAGAUACACCCAUUAUAGCACACAAAAGAUCACAAACUUAAAGGAUAUCCUUAUCCAUUCUGAUUUUUAAAAAAACAAUACAGAAUCCAGAAGUAUCACGACAGGAAGUUUCAGGUGCGGUCACUGUGAUGUCUGUUGUCUCACAUCUGACAUUAAACUGUUUGUUCCUCCAUCAUCAAAUAUUAAGAUUAAAUUGAAAGACUUGAUUACAUGUUCAACUGAAAAAGUAAUAUACAUAAUUCGAUGCCCUUGUAAUUUACUUUAUAUUGGGAUGACUACUAGACCCUUGAGAGUUAGGAUACAGGAACAUCGGUCCAAAAAGAGAAAGUUUAGAUUCCACUUUAUAUAUGCAUUUUCAUAAUAAAUCUCACCCCUUUAACAGCUUUAGAUUUUUUGCUUUAGAGAAGUUACAUACUACUGACAAUGCUGACAUCAGAACUGGUCUCCUCAGAAGGGAAACUUUUUGGAUACAUAAAUUGAGAACAACCACACCUCAUGGUUUGAAUGAUAAUCUUGACUUCAGCUGUUUCCUGUAAUUAUAUAUUUAAACUGUCAGAUGACCACUAAUGGCUGCUCGCACUAUAGAAUCCACAAUCAGCACGUACGUAGACACUGCGAACAUAAAACUUGAAGCUGAGCCAACAAUACAAAUAUUCAAAACAUUGCCGCUUACCAGAUGAAGGGUUAACUGAAACUGGAGUAAACCUGGGAACCAGUAGUAAACGGCUUAUGUAAACAGCUUACUUCGGCUCACAGCCAGCCACUUUAAAAUAACAACUAUCUGACCAAGCUUCCUGGCUGGGAACUGUAAAUGACUGCAACAUUUGUUACAAACUGAAGCUACAGCCAAUUGACUGCAUUUACAUCCCGAGGAGUCCUAUAGAACUACUCCAAGACUACAGAGACUUUGAUUUGUUUUGACUCCAAGCCAGGUUUGAGCCAAUUGAAUUGUACACUGAUAUAUUUAGUUUUACAGCAUAUUAUAUGCCAUUUUGAAGAGACUGAAUGUACACAUACUGUGUCGCUAACAAACUUUAGUUGGAGUCUUGUUGAUACAUGUCUGAUAUAUGUUUUACACUGAAAACUGCUCUGUGUAGCAAUUAAAUCUGGAUGAUUGCAGUCUAAAAAUCUUUAUACUCUGUAAGUUACGACUGUGUGCCACUACAGCUGACAGAAUUGGAUCAUCAGUUGUAUUAUUAUUUGUAUUAUUGUUAACAUUAUGUAUAUGAUGUUCUAAUAUACAUAUUGUGUUCUAUGUUUUGAACCUUUUUGGACUGUGGCCUCCUUUCCCCUUGGGCAAAAACCUCACAUCUGCUUCUUGAUAUUUGGUCCAAUCUAGCACUUGAAAGUUAAAUAAGCAUACAUAUUUCACAAAUAAAACUUAACUUUAUAAAAC